GAUGAACGCUGGCGGCGUGCCUAAUACAUGCAAGUCGAGCGAACGGACGAGAAGCUUGCUUCUCUGAUGUUAGCGGCGGACGGGUGAGUAACACGUGGAUAACCUACCUAUAAGACUGGGAUAACUUCGGGAAACCGGAGCUAAUACCGGAUAAUAUUUUGAACCGCAUGGUUCAAAAGUGAAAGACGGUCUUGCUGUCACUUAUAGAUGGAUCCGCGCUGCAUUAGCUAGUUGGUAAGGUAACGGCUUACCAAGGCAACGAUGCAUAGCCGACCUGAGAGGGUGAUCGGCCACACUGGAACUGAGACACGGUCCAGACUCCUACGGGAGGCAGCAGUAGGGAAUCUUCCGCAAUGGGCGAAAGCCUGACGGAGCAACGCCGCGUGAGUGAUGAAGGUCUUCGGAUCGUAAAACUCUGUUAUUAGGGAAGAACAUAUGUGUAAGUAACUGUGCACAUCUUGACGGUACCUAAUCAGAAAGCCACGGCUAACUACGUGCCAGCAGCCGCGGUAAUACGUAGGUGGCAAGCGUUAUCCGGAAUUAUUGGGCGUAAAGCGCGCGUAGGCGGUUUUUUAAGUCUGAUGUGAAAGCCCACGGCUCAACCGUGGAGGGUCAUUGGAAACUGGAAAACUUGAGUGCAGAAGAGGAAAGUGGAAUUCCAUGUGUAGCGGUGAAAUGCGCAGAGAUAUGGAGGAACACCAGUGGCGAAGGCGACUUUCUGGUCUGUAACUGACGCUGAUGUGCGAAAGCGUGGGGAUCAAACAGGAUUAGGUACCCUGGUAGUCCACGCCGUAAACGAUGAGUGCUAAGUGUUAGGGGGUUUCCGCCCCUUAGUGCUGCAGCUAACGCAUUAAGCACUCCGCCUGGGGAGUACGACCGCAAGGUUGAAACUCAAAGGAAUUGACGGGGACCCGCACAAGCGGUGGAGCAUGUGGUUUAAUUCGAAGCAACGCGAAGAACCUUACCAAAUCUUGACAUCCUUUGACAACUCUAGAGAUAGAGCCUUCCCCUUCGGGGGACAAAGUGACAGGUGGUGCAUGGUUGUCGUCAGCUCGUGUCGUGAGAUGUUGGGUUAAGUCCCGCAACGAGCGCAACCCUUAAGCUUAGUUGCCAUCAUUAAGUUGGGCACUCUAAGUUGACUGCCGGUGACAAACCGGAGGAAGGUGGGGAUGACGUCAAAUCAUCAUGCCCCUUAUGAUUUGGGCUACACACGUGCUACAAUGGACAAUACAAAGGGCAGCGAAACCGCGAGGUCAAGCAAAUCCCAUAAAGUUGUUCUCAGUUCGGAUUGUAGUCUGCAACUCGACUACAUGAAGCUGGAAUCGCUAGUAAUCGUAGAUCAGCAUGCUACGGUGAAUACGUUCCCGGGUCU
rnacentral:rRNA from 1 species